UACGAAGGGGGCUAGCGUUGUUCGGAAUUACUGGGCGUAAAGCGCACGUAGGCGGACAUUUAAGUCAGGGGUGAAAUCCCGGGGCUCAACCCCGGAACUGCCUUUGAUACUGGUGUCUAGAGUAUGGAAGAGGUGAGUGGAAUUCCGAGUGUAGAGGUGAAAUUCGUAGAUAUUCGGAGGAACACCAGUGCGAAGGCGGCUCACUGGUCCAUUACUGACGCUGAGGUGCGAAAGCGUGGGAGCAAC
rnacentral:rRNA from 1 species